CCUACGGGAGGCAGCAGUGGGGAAUUUUGGACAAUGGGGGCAACCCUGAUCCAGCAAUGCCGCGUGAGUGAAGAAGGCCUUCGGGUUGUAAAGCUCUUUUGUCAGGGAAGAAACGGUGAUCUCUAAUACAGAUUACUAAUGACGGUACCUGAAGAAUAAGCACCGGCUAACUACGUGCCAGCAGCCGCGGUAAUACGUAGGGUGCAAGCGUUAAUCGGAAUUACUGGGCGUAAAGCGUGCGCAGGCGGUUAUAUAAGUCAGAUGUGAAAUCCCCGGGCUCAACCUGGGAACUGCAUUUGAGACUGUAUGGCUAGAGUGUGUCAGAGGGGGGUAGAAUUCCACGUGUAGCAGUGAAAUGCGUAGAUAUGUGGAGGAAUACCGAUGGCGAAGGCAGCCCCCUGGGAUAACACUGACGCUCAUGCACGAAAGCGUGGGGAGCAAACAGGAUUAGAUACCCUGGUAGUCCACGCCCUAAACGAUGUCUACUAGUUGUCGGUCUUAUGNUGUACGCNGCUACGCGNGAGUAGACGCCGUGGAGGUACGGUCGCGAGAAGUUAAACGUUAAAAGUUAAGUAAGUUAGUACGGUACGUGAGACGUAGACCGACGGACGACGACGAGGGAGGAGG
rnacentral:rRNA from 1 species